rnacentral:rRNA from 1 species
UACGAGGGGGGCUAGCGUUGCUCGGAAUCACUGGGCGUAAAGGGUGCGUAGGCGGGUCUUUAAGUCAGGGGUGAAAUCCUGGAGCUCAACUCCAGAACUGCCUUUGAUACUGAAGAUCUUGAGUUCGGGAGAGGUGAGUGGAACUGCGAGUGUAGAGGUGAAAUUCGUAGAUAUUCGCAAGAACACCAGUGGCGAAGGCGGCUCACUGGCCCGAUACUGACGCUGAAGCACGAAAGCGUGGGGAGCAAACAGG